GACGAACGCUGGCGGCGUGCUUAACACAUGCAAGUCGAACGGAAAGGCCCUGCUUUUGUGGGGUGCUCGAGUGGCGAACGGGUGAGUAACACGUGAGUAACCUGCACUUGACUUUGGGAUAACUUCAGGAAACUGGGGCUAAUACCGGAUAGGAGCUACUGCUGCAUGGUGGGGGUUGGAAAGUUUCGGCGGUUGGGGAUGGACUCGCGGCUUAUCAGCUUGUUGGUGGGGUAGUGGCUUACCAAGGCUUUGACGGGUAGCCGGCCUGAGAGGGUGACCGGCCACAUUGGGACUGAGAUACGGCCCAGACUCCUACGGGAGGCAGCAGUGGGGAAUAUUGCACAAUGGGCGGAAGCCUGAUGCAGCAACGCCGCGUGCGGGAUGACGGCCUUCGGGUUGUAAACCGCUUUCGCCUGUGACGAAGCGUGAGUGACGGUAAUGGGUAAAGAAGCACCGGCUAACUACGUG
rnacentral:rRNA from 1 species